GAGAGAGAGACAUGCGCGCAUAUCAAUAAGCGGAGGAAAAGAAACUAACAAGGAUUCCCCUAGUAACGGCGAGUGAAGCGGGAAGAGCUCAAAUUUGAAACCUUAAAGGGUUUCCCUUUACGAAUUGUAGUUUAAAGAAGUGUUUUCUGUUGAGGUUUUGGUAAAAGUUCUUUGGAAUAGGACAUCAUAGAGGGUGAGAAUCCCGUAUUUGACCUUUACUUUCAACUUUGUGAUACACUUUCAAAGAGUCGGAUUGUUUGGGAAUGCAGUCCAAAAUGGGUGGUAAAUUUCAUCUAAAGCUAAAUAUUGGCGAGAGACCGAUAGCGAACAAGUACCGUGAGGGAAAGAUGAAAAGAACUUUGAAAAGAGAGUUAAACAGUACGUGAAAUUGUCAAAAGGGAAGCGUUUGACACCAGUGUUGUUUUUCUGAAAAUCAAUUAAAGAACUGUUUAUGCUAAGCUGUUUAGACUUUAUCAGCUAAUCUGUUUAGUUUUGAGCUUUUCUUUAAUGCACUUUUCAGUUAACAAGUCAACAUCAAUUUCUUUUGCUGUAAAAAAGCUUGAGGAAGGUGGCUUGAGAUUCGUCUUAAGUGUUUAUAGCCUCUUGCCUAUGCAGUCGGAGAGAUUGAGGUCUGCAGCGUAGAUCCUUCGGGGCUAAAUGCAUUUGUGCUAAGUUAUAGCAUUUUAUAGACAACUUGUUGACUAUGAUUUGUCUUGUAGCUUACUCGCUUAUGUUAUUUUACCUACGCUUAGGAUGUUGACGCAUGAGAUAUACGC
rnacentral:rRNA from 1 species